CCCCCGCUGUUGCUUGGCCUCAGGCAGUUAUCUGCCGGCAACAGUUUUUGGCGCCCAACGUGGGGCAUUGAGGCUAAAAUUAGCCUUGCCUGGAUCCCUUCUGGUGGUCGACGGAUUGCGGCGACGACCGACGCCCAGCGCGCACCGGUGACUUCACCGGGGGCCUUGGCGGAGACGCAGUUCGACUGACCCCAGAGGGCACAACGGUGCAACGCGCUCGAGUAGUGGAGAAGCAGUUGAGGGCGACGGUGAGGAACCGGUCCCUUGGAUAAGCUUAACUGUCCAGUAAGAUCCAACAGUGUGCCUUUGUGACCCCGGAGCCGGUGUGGCUUGGUGACACUGAAGAAGCCGCAGGCAGCUGACCUGGACUGGAAUCUCUGAAAGAGAUGCUGCAGAAGAUUCCAGGGUGCAAGAGAACAGCCCUCCAAAGAGCGGAAGCAUGUUAGAAAUUCUGGACAAGCUGUAUACAGGAUAAUCUCCAGUCCACCUCUCCCCCCUUCUCUGAACAUUAUACACAGAAGUGGCCAGUCUGGACGUA